CUAGUUUUUUGUCUGCCUAUCCAUGUUCAGGCUGGGACAAGAUUACUGUGAAAUCAACAGUGGCAUUUCAAGGCUGCAAAAAAGAGUGGAUCAGACACACUGGGCAGACAUGUGUGGUGGUUGGAUGCUUGGGUGGACCAUGAUGACACAGACUUGCAAGAGGAUUUCUGUCUGAUACACAGCAGAUCAAAGCUCAAGAAGGCAAGUAAAGACCCCAGGAAACUAAACUACUUCAAAUGGCACAAGAUUUAACUAUCAGGUACUUGAUUUGCAAGGUCAUGAGGGUGGACAACCUGGAUGACAAAUCCCCAGAGAUCUGUGCUGAGCCCAGUGAGAAACUCACACAUACUUUCAGAGU
rnacentral:lncRNA from 1 species